rnacentral:sRNA from 1 species
UGAUUCUGUUUUCCACAAAUGUGCUAAA